GCCGAAUUCAUGGACUAGUGGUGUAUUUUACUCUUAUAAAAAUCUAUAUUUCGUCUAGCAGUGCAAACGCGCGCGGGUCACCCGGCUAGAUGUUGAUUGGAGCAGGUAGAGCAAAUAGGAAAUCAAUAGCUAAAAGGGGUUGGUUUUUCAAAAAGAAAUAUAAAAGGAAACAACACUGUGUAGAUGCUAUGUGUACCGGAUGUAAAUACAUGCAUGGCUAGGUAGCACUUUCGGCUUAUAUGCACCGUUGCUGAAACCACACUUGUGUCAAUAGCUGCUGGACGGUAGCAGCACACUUGCAACAAAAAUAUCAGCUGGAAGCCGAUCUACCAUACACACACUCAAAUUCACGCUCAUGACCGCAAACCAGACACUUGAAGUAGAAGAGCUCUCAAUGGUGGCUGCCGGAAGCAGCUGGAACACCAGAAACAACAUGACGAAAUAAGGGAGAUUUGUGUCGAACAUCGGCUAAAAGAAUCGAAAAAGUCAUACAGGCCAAUGGAUGAUGGUCCUAAAAUAGAUAAAAACUGGGCCGGAUAAAAAUGAAUGCUUACUGCAUUAUCCAUACAAAAUAAUGAAAAUCAAUACGUUUGUAAUCGAUGUCUAAUACAAAACAGUUUCAAAUACAUAAAAUAAAAAAAAAUUGCCACGCAAAUUGAAAUGCAGCAAAAUAACACAUCUGUUACAUGUAGAAGCUCAAC
rnacentral:lncRNA from 1 species